GAAACUAUAAUUCAAUUGGUUAGAAUAGUAUUUUGAUAAGGUACAAAUAUAGGUUCAAUCCCUGUUAGUUUCAUAU
ensembl:tRNA Mitochondrial isoleucine tRNA (tRNA-Ile); predicted by tRNAscan-SE analysis; mutations in human ortholog are linked to conditions such as progressive encephalopathy, metabolic syndrome,